UACGGAGGGUGUAAGCGUUAUCCGGAUUCACUGGGUUUAAAGGGUGCGUAGGCGGGCAGGUAAGUCCGUGGUGAAAUCUCUGAGCUUAACUCAGAAACUGCCAUGGAUACUAUUUGUCUUGAAUAUUGUGGAGGUAAGCGGAAUAUGUCAUGUAGCGGUGAAAUGCUUAGAUAUGACAUAGAACACCAAUUGCGAAGGCAGCUUACUACACAGUUAUUGACGCUGAGGCACGAAAGCGUGGGGAUCAAACAGG
rnacentral:rRNA from 1 species